AGGUCAAGCUACAAAGGGCGCAUGGUGAAUGCCUUGGCACUAGGAGCCGAAGAAGGACGCGAU
rnacentral:rRNA from 1 species